AUACGGAGGGUGCGAGCGUUAAUCGGAAUUACUGGGCGUAAAGGGCGCGUAGGCGGCUGAAUCAGUCAGAUGUGAAAGCCCCGGGCUUAACCUGGGAAUGGCAUUUGAUACUGUUUAGCUAGAGUUUGGUAGAGGGGAGUGGAAUUUCCGGUGUAGCGGUGAAAUGCGUAGAGAUCGGAAGGAACAUCAGUGGCGAAGGCGGCUCUCUGGACCAAAACUGACGCUGAGGUGCGAAAGCGUGGGUAGCAAACAGGAUUAGAAACCCCAGUAGUCC
rnacentral:rRNA from 1 species